GCGGGGAUUGCCAAGCCUGGUCAACGGCGCCGGACUUAAGAUCCGGUCCUAAGCGGUUCGUGGGUUCGAAUCCCUCUCCCCGCA
rnacentral:tRNA from 1 species